rnacentral:rRNA from 1 species
GGCGGACGGGUGAGUAACGCGUGAGAAUCUGCCUUCAGGUCGGGGACAACCACUGGAAACGGUGGCUAAUACCGGAUAUACUUAACGGUGAAAGAUUAAUUGCCUGAAGAGGAGCUCGCGUCUGAUUAGCUAGUUGGUGGGGUAAAAGCCUACCAAGGCGACGAUCAGUAGCUGGUCUGAGAGGACGAUCAGCCACACUGGAACUGAGACACGGUCCAGACUCCUACGGGAGGCAGCAGUGGGGAAUUUUCCGCAAUGGGCGAAAGCCUGACGGAGCAAUACCGCGUGAGGGAGGAAGGCUCUUGGGUUGUAAACCUCUUUUCUCAGGGAAGAACAAAAUGACGGUACCUGAGGAAUCAGCAUCGGCUAACUCCGUGCCAGCAGCCGCGGUAAUACGGAGGAUGCAAGCGUUAUCCGGAAUGAUUGGGCGUAAAGCGUCCGCAGGUGGCAUUGAAAGUCUGCUGUCAAAGAGUCUGGCUCAACCAGAUAAAGGCAGUGGAAACUACAAAGCUAGAGUACGUUCGGGGCAGAGGGAAUUCCUGGUGUAGCGGUGAAAUGCGUAGAGAUCAGGAAGAACACCGGUGGCGAAAGCGCUCUGCUAGGCCGUAACUGACACUGAGGGACGAAAGCUAGGGGAGCGAAUGGGAUUAG